CUGAUGGAGCACGCCGCGUGUGUGAUGAAGGCUUUCGGGUCGUAAAGCACUGUUGUAUGGGAAGAAAUGCUAAAAUAGGGAAUGAUUUUAGUUUGACGGUACCAUACCAGAAAGGGACGGCUAAAUACGUGCCAGCAGCCGCGGUAAUACGUAUGUCCCGAGCGUUAUCCGGAUUUAUUGGGCGUAAAGCGAGCGCAGACGGUUGAUUAAGUCUGAUGUGAAAGCCCGGAGCUCAACUCCGGAAUGGCAUUGGAAACUGGUUAACUUGAGUGUUGUAGAGGUAAGUGGAACUCCAUGUGUAGCGGUGGAAUGCGUAGAUAUAUGGAAGAACACCAGUGGCGAAGGCGGCUUACUGGACAACAACUGACGUUGAGGCUCGAAAGUGUGGGUAGCAAACAGGAUUAGAUACCCUGGUAGUCCACACCGUAAACGAUGAAUACUAGGUGUUAGGAGGUUUCCGCCUCUUAGUGCCGAAGCUAACGCAUUAAGUAUUCCGCCUGGGGAGUACGACCGCAAGGUUGAAACUCAAAGGAAUUGACGGGGACCCGCACAAGCGGUGGAGCAUGUGGUUUAAUUCGAAGCAACGCGAAGAACCUUACCAGGUCUUGACAUCCUUUGAAGCUUUUAGAGAUAGAAGUGUUCUCUUCGGAGACAAAGUGACAGGUGGUGCAUGGUCGUCGUCAGCUCGUGUCGUGAGAUGUUGGGUUAAGUCCCGCAACGAGCGCAACCCUUAUUGUUAGUUGCCAGCAUUCAGUUGGGCACUCUAGCGAGACUGCCGGUGACAAACCGGAGGAAGGCGGGGACGACGUCAGAUCAUCAUGCCCCUUAUGACCUGGGCUACACACGUGCUACAAUGGCGUAUACAACGAGUUGCCAACCUGCGAAGGUGAGCUAAUCUCUUAAAGUACGUCUCAGUUCGGACUGCAGUCUGCAACUCGACUGCACGAAGUCGGAAUCGCUAGUAAUCGCGGAUCAGCCC
rnacentral:rRNA from 1 species